CUGUGAUUUGGGGAAAAUCUCAGCAAGGAGCUUCUUGUAGCGUUUAACAGGCUGUCUGGACCUUGCGCGCAAUGAUGGGCAAAAGAAGCAGAGAUUACCACAUGCUGGCACUACUUUCCUUGACAUCACCCCCAUCCUUGAAACCCAAAAUUCUAAUUUAACUUCUUUUCUUCAGGGUCCGUCCGUCCUUGACAUCACCCCCAUCCUUUCUUCUCCAAAUAUUCUUAUUUAACUUAUUUUCUUUCUUCAGGGUCCGUUCGUCCCUCAAUAAUCUUAAACUACAAGCAUUAUCAUGAGAUUAACAACACAUAUCCAAGAAACGAGCAAAAACCAAAUAUACAACACCCACACACCAAUUUAAUUCAGCACUUGAGAUCUAGAUCAACCCCAAUGAGCUCAUAUGAAUUGAACCUCCUUCUUCAUCGGUUGCAAAUUGGAUGAACUUGUCAGGCAAUAAUUAAGUAAUUGUUUUAGCAACAAUGAUUCAAUAAGAAAAAUAAAGUUUUCAAACAAAAAUGAACAUACUCUACGUCUUAUUUUUAACCUGGGAUUAUUAAGUCAAAAAAGGGGAGGGCAGACGAUGAGAACUCUCCCCCUUUGAGGUUUUUCUUUUCCAAUUUGUGAAAACUAAAAAGUAGUGUAAUUAUUACGGCAAAGCAAAAAUGAAAACUAAUUAUUCCAGCAAAACAGAGAUUGUGUUAUAAACUAAAGCAAAAGAAAAGAACAAUAGAACAAGAACAAUAGCAAUAGAGAGAAGA
rnacentral:lncRNA from 1 species